rnacentral:rRNA from 1 species
AUUGAACGCUGGCGGCAGGCCUAACACAUGCAAGUCGAGCGAGCGGCGGACGGGUGAGUAAUGUAUGGGGACUGCCCGAUGGAGGGGGAUAACUACUGGAAACGGUGGCUAAUACCGCAUACUAUCGGAUAACCCAUAUGGGAUUAGCUAGUAGGUGGGGUAAAGGCUCACCUAGGCGACGAUCUCUAGCUGGUCUGAGAGGAUGAUCAGCAAACCUGGGACUGAGAAAGGGCCCAGACUCCUACGGAGGCAGCAGUGGGGAAUAUUGCACAAGGGGCGCAAGCCUGCUGCAGCAAUGCGGCGUGUAUGAAGAGGGCCUUGGGUUUGUAAAGUACGUGCAGCGGGGAGGGGUAUCCAGCAGAAGAAGCACGGGCUAACUCCGUGCAAGCGGCCGCGGUAAUA